ACCACGUCAGUGAGCUGACAGGGAAGGUAGCCGGCUCCUCCGCCCGUCCCGGCCGACUUAUUCCGGUCAAGUGAGCGGUCCCACCUUGACUUUAGCCUUAACUUUCAGAAAACAGGCUCCUUCCCUUCUACCACCCUCCACCGAGUGGGGACAGCCUCUGGGAGCGACGCCUCCCGGGACCAGGUUGGACAUGAGCAGCGGCUGCCGGUCCUGGGACUAGGCCCCGCCAUUUUGGAUCUGCUGACAGGUUUGCCAGGAUGGUGGAUAAGAAUAUUUAUAUCAUUCAAGGGGAAAUUAACAUUGUGGUUGGGGCCAUCAAACGAAACGCCCGAUGGAGCACUCAUACACCACUGGAUGAAGAACGGGAUCCUCUGCUGCAUAGUUUCAGUCAUCUAAAGGAGGUUUUAAACAAUAUAACAGGUUCCUCUACUGGCUACCAUGAGAGCAGUCAAAAUUAGCAACUAUAUGAAAUGAAGUA